UACGUAGGUGGCAAGCGUUGUCCGGAAUUAUUGGGCGUAAAGCGCGCGCAGGCGGUCCUUUAAGUCUGAUGUGAAAGCCCACGGCUCAACCGUGGAGGGUCAUUGGAAACUGGGGGACUUGAGUACAGAAGAGGAGAGUGGAAUUCCUGGUGUAGCGGUGAAAUGCGCAGAUAUCAGGAAGAACACCUAUGGCGAAGGCAGCUCUCUGGGACGGUACUGACGCUGAGACGCGAAAGCGUGGGGAGCGAACAGG
rnacentral:rRNA from 1 species